GGCCUGGCUGGCGGGUCCGCCUAUUCGGUGAGUACUUGCUCGGCCGGGACUUUUUACCUUCUGGAGAGCCAUCAUGCACUUUACUGUGUGUGGUGGGGAACCAGGACUUUUACCUUGAAAAAAUUAGAGUGUUCAAAGCAGGCCGUUACGGCUUGAAUAUCUUAGCAUGGAAUAAUAGAAUAGGACUUUGGUUCUAUUUUGUUGGUUUCUAGGACUAGAGUA
rnacentral:rRNA from 1 species